rnacentral:rRNA from 1 species
AUAGGGGAGCCGUAGGGAAACCGAGUCUUAACUGGGCGAAUGAGUUGCAGGGUAUAGACCCGAAACCCGGUGAUCUAGCCAUGGGCAGGUUGAAGGUUGGGUAACACUAACUGGAGGACCGAACCGACUAAUGUUGAAAAAUUAGCGGAUGACUUGUGGCUGGGGGUGAAAGGCCAAUCAAACCGGGAGAUAGCUGGUUCUCCCCGAAAGCUAUUUAGGUAGCGCCUCGUGAACUCAUCUUCGGGGGUAGAGCACUGUUUCGGCUAGGGGGUCAUCCCGACUUACCAACCCGAUGCAAACUACGAAUACCGAAGAAUGUUAUCACGGGAGACACACGGCGGGUGCUAACGUUCGUCGUGAAGAGGGAAACAACCCAGACCGCCAGCUAAGGUCCCAAAGUCAUGGUUAAGUGGGAAACGAAGUGGGAAGGCUCAGACAGCCAGGAUGUUGGCUUAGAAGCAGCCAUCAUUUAAAGAAAGCGUAAUAGCUCACUGGUCGAGUCGGCCUGCGCGGAAGAUGUAACGGGGCUAAACCAUGCACCGAAGCUGCGGCAGCGACAUGUAAAUGUUGUUGGGUAGGGGAGCGUUCUGUAAGCCUGUGAAGGUGUGCUGCGAGGCAUGCUGGAGGUAUCAGAAGUGCGAAUGCUGACAUAAGUAACGAUAAUGCGGGUGAAAAACCCGCACGCCGGAAGACCAAGGGUUCCUGUCCAACGUUAAUCGGGGCAGGGUGAGUCGACCCCUAAGGCGAGGCAGAAAUGCGUAGUCGAUGGGAAACAGGUUAAUAUUCCUGUACUGGUGAUAAUUGCGAUGGGGGGACGGAGAAGGCUAGGCUGGCCGGGCGACGGUUGUCCCGGUUUAAGGAUGUAGGUGGGUGAAUUAGGCAAAUCCGGUUCGCUAUACACUGAGGUCUGAUGACGAGUCACUACGGUGGCGAAGUAGCUCAUGCCCCGCUUCCAGGAAAAGCCUCUAAGCUCUAGAUUAUCAUUAAUCGUACCCCAAACCGACACAGGUGGUCAGGUAGAGAAUACUCAGGCGCUUGAGAGAACUCGGGUGAAGGAACUAGGCAAAAUGGUGCCGUAACUUCGGGAGAAGGCACGCUGGCAUUAGGUGAAGUGGUUUACCCAUGGAGCUGAAGCCAGUCGCAGAUACCAGCUGGCUGCAACUGUUUAUUAAAAACACAGCACUGUGCAAACACGAAAGUGGACGUAUACGGUGUGACGCCUGCCCGGUGCUGGAAGGUUAAUUGAUGGGGUUAUCCGUAAGGAGAAGCUCUUGAUCGAAGCCCCAGUAAACGGCGGCCGUAACUAUAACGGUCCUAAGGUAGCGAAAUUCCUUGUCGGGUAAGUUCCGACCUGCACGAAUGGCGUAAUGAUGGCCAGGCUGUCUCCACCCGAGACUCAGUGAAAUUGAACUCGCUGUGAAGAUGCAGUGUACCCGCGGCAAGACGGAAAGACCCCGUGAACCUUUACUAUAGCUUGACACUGAACAUUGAGCCUUGAUGUGUAGGAUAGGUGGGAGGCUUUGAAGUGUGGACGCCAGUCUGCAUGGAGCCAACCUUGAAAUACCACCCUUUAAUGUUUGAUGUUCUAACGUAGCCCCAUAAUCUGGGGUGCGGACAGUGUCUGGUGGGUAGUUUGACUGGGGCGGUCUCCUCCCAAAGCGUAACGGAGGAGCACGAAGGUUGGCUAAGCAUGGUCGGACAUCAUGCGGUUAGUGCAAAGGCAUAAGCCAGCUUGACUGCGAGAGUGACGGCUCGAGCAGGUACGAAAGUAGGUCUUAGUGAUCCGGUGGUUCUGAAUGGAAGGGCCAUCGCUCAACGGAUAAAAGGUACUCCGGGGAUAACAGGCUGAUACCGCCCAAGAGUUCAUAUCGACGGCGGUGUUUGGCACCUCGAUGUCGGCUCAUCACAUCCUGGGGCUGAAGUAGGUCCCAAGGGUAUGGCUGUUCGCCAUUUAAAGUGGUACGCGAGCUGGGUUUAGAACGUCGUGAGACAGUUCGGUCCCUAUCUGCCGUGGGCGUUGGAAGAUUGAAAGGGGCUGCUCCUAGUACGAGAGGACCGGAGUGGACGCACCGCUGGUGUUCGGGUUGUCAUGCCAAUGGCACUGCCCGGUAGCUAAGUGCGGAAGAGAUAACCGCUGAAAGCAUCUAAGCGGGAAACUUGCCUUGAGAUGAGUCUUCCCUGACUCUUUAAGGGUCCUAAAGGAACGUUUAAGACGAAGACGUUGAUAGGCUGGGUGUGUAAGCGUAGCGAUACGUUGAGCUAACCAGUACUAAUGAACCGUGAGGCUUAACCUG